rnacentral:misc_RNA from 1 species
CUCUUGUUUCCAAGCUGGAUUUCUCCCCUCACUAAUUUGGUCGGACUCACAAUUCAUAACUGCAAAAAAUGCCUGCAUUUUCCACCGCUGGAUGAGUUCCCUUCACUUAAACUUUUGGCGAUCGAGAAUUUCGCUGAUCUGGAGUUCAUAGAGAGUGGAACUGAUAGCGGCAAUGCAUUAUUCUUCCCUUCCUUGGAGAAACUCUUGCUCUCAAAUUGCCAAAAUCUGAAGGGAUGGAGGGGGGAUACAUCCACGCCUCAGUUG